ensembl:lncRNA
UCUAUUACAACAGACCCUUACAGCCACACCAUCUAUUACCACAGACCCUUACAGACCCUUACAGCCACACCAUCUAUUACCACAGACCCUUACAGACCCUUACAGACACAUUAUCUAUUACCACAGACCCUUACAGCCACAUCAUCUAUUACCACAGACCCUUACAGACCCUUACAGACCCUCACAGACCCUGAAAACCACAUUGUCUAUUACCACAGACCCUUACAGACCCUGAAAACCACAUUGUCUAUUACCACAGACCCUUACAGCCACACCAUCUAUUACCACAGACCCUUACAGACCCUUACAGCCACACCAUCUAUUACCACAGACCCUUACAGACCCUUACAGACACAUUAUCUAUUACCACAGACCCUUACAGCCACAUCAUCUAUUACCACAGACGCUUACAGACCCUUACAUCCACAACAUCUAUUACCACAGACGCUUACAGCCACAUCAUCUAUUACCACAGACGCUUACAGCCACAUCAUCUAUUACCACAGACCCUUACAGAACCUUACAUCCACAGUAUCUAUUACCACAGACCCUUUCAGAACCUUACAUCCACAGUAUCUAUUACCACAGACCCUUACAGCCACAUCAUCUAUUACCACAGACGCUUACAGAACCUUACAUCCACAGUAUCUAUUACCACAGACCCGUACAGCAACAUUGUCUAUUACAACAGACCCUUACAGCAACAUUGUCUAUUACAACAGACCCUUACAGCAACAUUGUCUAUUACCACAGACUCUUACAGCCACACCAUCUAUUACCACAGACCCUUACAGCAACAUUGUCUAUUACCACAGACUCUUACAGACCCUUACAGCCACAACAUCUAUUACCACAGACCCUUACAGACCCUUACAGCCACAACAUCUAUUACCACUGACCCUUACAGCAACAUUGUCUAUUACCACAGACCCUUACAGCAACAGUGUCUAUUACCACAGACUCUUACAGACCCUUACAGCCACAACAUCUAUUACCACAGACCCUUACAGACCCUUACAGCCACAACAUCUAUUACCACUGACCCUUAUAGACCCUUACAGCAACAUUGUCUAUUACAACAGACCCUUACAGCCACAACAUCUAUUACCACAGACCCUUACAGCAACAUUGUCUAUUACCACAGACCCUUACAGCAACAGUGUCUAUUACCACAGACUCUUACAGACCCUUACAGCCACAACAUCUAUUACCACAGACCCUUACAGACCCUUACAGACACAUGAUCUAUUACCACAGACCCUUACAGACCCUUACAGACACAUGAUCUAUUACUACAGACCCUUACAGCCACAACAUCUAUUACCACUGACCCUUAUAGACCCUUACAGCCACAACAUCUAUUACCACAGACCCUUACAGCAACAUUGUCUAUUACCACAGACCCUUACAGAACCUUACAGCCACAUUAUCUAUUACCACAGACUCUUACAGACCCUUACAGCCACAUCAUCUAUUACCACAGACCCUUACAGACCCUUACAGCCACAACAUCUAUUAGCACAGACCCUUACAGCCACAUCAUCUAUUACCACAGACUCUUACAGACCCUUACAGCCACAUCAUCUAUUAGCACAGACCCUUACAGACCCUUACAGCCACAACAUCUAUUACCACAGACUCUUACAGCCACACCAUCUAUUACCACAGACCCUUACAGCCACACCAUCUAUUACCACAGACCCUUACAGCAACAUUGUGUAUUACAACAGACCAUUACAGAACCUUACAGCCACAUCAUCUAUUACCACAGACCCUCACAGCCACACCAUCUAUACACCCUUACAGCAACAUUGA